UUACGUGAAAAACCUUUAUGAAUAAGGAAAAAAUCACGGCCCGAGAAGAGCAACUGAUUUCAUUAUAGCAAAGAUUUUACAAUUUGUGGUACCGAGUAAAAUACUCCAAUACCAUUGCAUGCUCAAAAGAAAUAAUCCUCUUUUGAUUUUUCCACCUCACCACAAAUACCGCUCAUACUCUCUAUAUUUUUCCUUAUAGAAUAUUUUGCCUCACUUUAUCUCCGUUUGGUAUUUUACUAAUGAUCGAGGAGCUCUCUAUUUAUAGAGAUUCAAUAUUCUUGCAGAUGUCAUCAUGACGCCAAAUGAAAGAUAGGAACUUCAAACUCUUCAAUGUGAACAAAUCAAAACCUCGGCUGCCAAAUCUAUAAAAGACGCUGACAUGAGAGGUCUUUAUUAAAGGAAGAAAAAUAUCUUCCUUAAAUCAUGGGAUGGACCUAUCGGUUGUUAAAUUGUGUGACCAUUUCAUCUAAAAAUAUGCGUGUAGAACAUGCGUACCGUGUUAAGGCCAGCAAGAACGG
rnacentral:lncRNA from 1 species